AACGAACGCUGGCGGCAGGCCUAACACAUGCAAGUCGAGCGAGGACUUCGGUCCUAGCGGCGGACGGGUGAGUAACGCUUUGGAACGUUCCCUUUUCUUCUGAAUAGCCCUGGGAAACUGGGAGUAAUACCGGUUGAGCCCUUUGGUGGAAAGUUUUAUCGGCGAAGGAUCUGCCCGCGUUGUAUUAGGUAGUUGGUGUGGUAAUGGCCUACCAACCCGGCGAUACAUAGCUGGUUUGCGAGGAUGAUCAGCCACACUGGGACUGAGACACGACCCAGACUCCUACGGAAGGAAGCAGUGGGGAAUCUGAGACAAUGGGGGAAACCCUGAGCGAGCCAUGAAGCGUGAGAGAUGAAGGACUUAGGGUUGUAAAGCGCUUUCAGCUGGGAAGAUAAUGAAGGUACCAGCAGAAGAAGACCAGGCUAACUCAGUG
rnacentral:rRNA from 1 species